ensembl:snRNA U6 U6 spliceosomal RNA
GUGCCUGCUUCAGCAGCACAUAUACUAAAACUGGAACAAUACAAAGAAAGUUAGCAUGGCCCCUACAUAAGCAUGCCACACUAAUCUGUGAAACAUUCCAUAUUUCA